CGUUGAAACAUUGGUUCCCGUACGAUCACCGAAGUUAAGCAUCAUCGAUCCUGGUCAGUACCUAGAUGAGUGACAGCUUAGGAAUACCAGGUGCUGUAA